rnacentral:rRNA from 1 species
CUCCUUUUUCUAAUCAGUGAACUAAUCUUCCCGUGAAGAAGCGGGAAUAUCCCCAUAAGACGAGAAGACCCCAUGGAGCUUCAAACCCAAUUACACCCCUAACCCCUAUAACUACUUAACCCUUAGGAUUCUGUAUUAUUGGUUUUAGGUUGGGGCGACCACGGAGUACAACAAAACCUCCACAAUGAACGGAACUACUUCCUCAUCUGAGAGCUACAUCUCUAAGAAUUAAAAUAUUAACAUAAAAUGAUCCAUUUUUGAUCAAUGAACCAAGUUACCCUGGGGAUAACAGCGCAAUCCAUUUCAAGAGCCCCUAUCGACAAAUGGG